UACAGAGGGUGCGAGCGUUAAUCGGAAUUACUGGGCGUAAAGCGUGCGUAGACGGUUAUUUAAGUCGGGUGUGAAAGCCCCGGGCUCAACCUGGGAAUUGCAUUCGAGACUGAAUAGCUAGGGUACGGUAGAGGGAAGUGGAAUUUCCGGUGUAGCGGUGAAAUGCGUAGAUAUCGGAAGGGACAUCAGUGGCGAAAGCGACUUCCUGGACCAGUACCGACGUUCAGGCACGAAAGCGUGGGGAGCAAACAGG
rnacentral:rRNA from 1 species